CUGCCCUUGGCCCUGUGAAUGAUUCCUCCCCCAUGCUUCUGCUUCCAUGCUGAAGUAGAUCACUGCAGUCCCAUGGUCGUCUCCAGUCUGCAGUAGAUCCGGGUCUUCUCUUCCCUCCCACACCUUUAGCACUUUAGAGGAAGUUCUGGCCUGGGGUCCCAUGGAAUUCCAUCCCAGAUGAGCAUGCUUGGCAGUUUCUCAGAUUGAGUUGCAGCGUCAUCGGGUUUGGGGCGAGCAAAGCAGGCGCGAGGCCUCCCCCUAUUUCACACCCAGAGCACGUGGAACGCUCAACUGACUUUCCGGUGGUCUCCGCCGCCACCUCUUAGUUCAAUGUUUCUGCUGGCAGGUCCCAGACUGUUCAAUGCCUCUCUCUGAACUGGGAAUGAAGAGUUGAGGACCACUGGAUGCUGUGAAGCACCUUUUAGAAGGCUAAGCCUCAGAAGAACAAGAUCGGAAAGCAAAACAGUGAGUUUUGUUCUACUGUAGGCUCUGGCCAUAAUGUAUCACUUUGGGCCUCAGGCAAUGGAAGGAGUGGAGUGUGGCCUGAAGCUUCCAAAAUUGUGAUCCCAACGUAACCUUCUCUGCCAAGAAGCUGCGCUUGGGCAUUUGUGAGUGAUGGUAGGCGAACUGACAUGCUUGUCUCCUGGGAGGAAGGCCCAUAAAGUGAUUCCCUAGGGCCAGAGACAUCCUAGCCUCAAACACUACUGAGAAAUGCUAAGACGCCUGAAGCCCACAGCAGACCUCCCAGAAAGGAAAGUUUGUGAAGCGCCAUUCAAACAUGAGCCCUACAGGUCCUCCUGCCACCCGCCUCUUUCCCACUUUCAUCUCAUCUGGGAAGGAUCAACUGCAGGAGGUGGAUGAGAAAGGAAGCAGCAAGGUCUGCUCAAGUCCAGCUCACCUGACAUACCCUGCUGUCCAACCCCACGUGUGCUGCUGUGGAUGCUGGGAGCAGCUGCAGCGUCACAGAGGAAAUCCCCUUUGACUUGGGAUCCAGUGAGACAUCACCUGAUUACAUAGGCUCCAUAAUACUCCCUCAGGACAGGAGAACCAGAGAUGAGAUGUCAGGAGGAGAUCCCCUGAGAAGCUGUCACUGGACCCUAUCAUCAGUGAGCACUGGCCGCAGCCAGGCGGCCCCCAACAGCCUCCGACACCACCAGACGAAGGGGCUGAAAGGAGGUGGGGGUGCAGAUUGUUCGCUUGUUUCCCACUCUAUGUUGUUGCCUCUCUAUCUCAGAGGAAAACAGCACAUUUCCCAGGGGUGAAAACAGGCCCAGCUCUGUGGUCGUCAAACCACCAGGGCUGGGGGGUGGCCUGGUAUGGGGAACCCCAAGAGUGACAGGAAGGAGCCAGGCCGGAAUUCCAGGAGCCUGUCUGCUCAAACACCUGUUGGCAUCCAGACAACCCUGGGAGCCAGGCACAAGCUCGCCUUCCUCUCCUCUAGCUGCUGGAUCUGAGCUAAUAGCACCUUCACUCUUUAGUUCAACAUGAAGCCAGUACUGUCCUCUGGGGGAUGUGAUCCACAUGGCUUCCACCUUAUGAAGCUUCAUCCCUCCAGUCUCUGUAAGAUAUUGGGAUGGAACGCCCACAGUGAGAGAACUGAGUGUCCCACUGGACUCAGGGGCUUCACCAGUUCGCCCCUCCCUCAUCCUCACCAACUUUAUCACUGACCAGCGCAGAGACUGUGCCUCCUUCCUGCAAGCACCAAAGGUGCUGGUCCCUAGCCCCAGGAUUCCAGAAACUGGCGGAAUUUUUCCUGUCCCGUGGAGGGAUAUCUUGACUUAUAUUUUGACUAUACGUUUGAGAUUUUUCUGCUACACUGAGGCAAGCUUCUCCAGAACACUGUGGAAGGGUUUGAGAAUAUGUCCCCAGCUGAUCCCUGCAAAGUCGAUGCAGAGCUGCAGCUGCGCCUACCCCUGGACAACAUGGCUGGGGGGAAGGGCAGUGUCUCUCUACUUCGUCCCAGGUCACUGCUGAUGUGAAGAUGAGGGACUUGGGAAUAUCCACUUGGACAAUCUCUCCUUGGCCUUAAAGGGCUGGUCUGCCCUGAAAGAGUCACAGCUCAGAGAGGCUGCUCUUGAGAUCACAAGUUCUAACGAAACAUAGAGAACUCCAUAGCUGUCACAUGCUUCUGCGUGGCUACCUGGAUGGCUUAGAAGACACUGUAAUUGAACCCCAAGGGCUCUCGUGUCUGUGACUGAAAAGACAAAUCAUGCAGAUGAUGCAUAAAGAGAUGAGAAAGAUUUAAUACCCUCAGCAGGUAAGGAAUCAAUUGAGCCGCUAUCCCCUCGGAGGGAAGCGUGGGCGUAUUUCACUCAGGGACCUUAAAUACAUUCCUGGAUGAGUAGCCAUUCAUAAGCAUGCUUGGCCAAGGAGCUUAUGGCCAUGCACAGUUUAAGGUAACGGAGCACACGUUUAGAUUUAAGUGAUGUCGAGAAAGAGUCUCCCACAAAAGUGCUCACCUUGCUUUGUGGCCAACAGCACCGCUGUGGGCACUUGGCGUUGUGGGCACAGGACUCUCAUGGAGUCCGAACCCCUGGUGAGCUUUGUCCACGUGACGCACUGAAGUCAGAAGCAGAAGGCUGCUUAGGCAUGUCAAGAAGAUGGCGGAAGGAUGUUUUGAAUUUCAGUUUGUGCCCGUCCCUUCUCCCCUCAGACUUGGUCUCCUCGUUUCUUCUGUGUUGUUCUGUCAGGGAUAAAGACAGUUCUGAAACCUCAUUUUUGAUGGCUGCUGUUAACCUAAACAACUCUCAUCCCCCAAGAAGAGGGCCUGACCUCAGGGAUGGUGCUGCUCAUGGCUCCUUCGUCUUCAGAGACGCAGCAGGGACGCUGCUACUGUGUGACAGUGCAUGGCUGUUUCCAUGUGCUGCUUCGCCUUUGUCUGCAAGGAUCUGUCUCCCCACUUGCAGAGCACAGAGGUGUCCAGGUGGCACUAACUGUCCCCACCCCUUCUCCAGGCUCCUUUCUGCUGUUCCAGGACAGCCUGCCCUGUGCUGGUAUAUGUUCUGUCAGGCUUCAAGCUCCUUCCCACCCUGGGCUGCCCACAAACACAGUGGAAAACACAGCUCAGCCUUGUAAGCCUUUUAAGAGCCAGACCCUCUCCAUUUGCUGAGUAAACUUGCCCAGGGUUAAAAUACCCCUUGCCCUAGGAAUAAAGACAACAUAAAGUGAAAA
rnacentral:sRNA from 1 species